UAGGACCUUUCUGAGGAAGAAAAUGUAUCAACAGAAAGAUAGUAACAACGUGAGCUGGAGUGAUAAAGCCCUAGUGAGGCUGGGAGAAUUGAGAAGAUAAGAUCAGGUGUACAAGCAUCCUAGCUGAAAACAGCAUGUGUCUCUGUCUUAUCUCCAGAUUGGAGACUUGGAGAAGAAAAGAAAAUGAAAGGACUGAGCAUGCAAAGAAGAAGCGAGCAAUACUGGAGCUCCAGAAAUUGCAGCAUCUCCACUUUCCAACAAGCCACUGGUUCUGUGCUCGCCCAGCCACUUCCCAGCAAUAUCAGAAUUUGCAGAUUUCUGAAAACCUCUUUGAAACAGAGCUUGCUGCUUGGAUGCAGCCUCACAAGAAGUCCCAUGUCCUUUCCCAUCCGUGCGCUGUGAUGCAGGAGGCCCCCAUCAACUUUUCCAGGGAGUUUCCUUACAGACUAGCCUGGGGACCUGUGACCACCCAUGACUUGGAGGGAAAACUGCGUUACCCAAGGACGAUGCUGGACUUGUUUAAAGAAGGCAAAGCAAGCAGCCUCCUUGUAGAGAGAAAUCUGCAGCCAACAAAAUCAAUCCCUAGCAAAGGGAGGUACAUCUUGGUGAAUGCUGAGACUCCUUCAAUAUCCUCUACUCCGCCUGUAAGCAGCCCACUGGAAGACAGGUUACUGAGUGUCCGAUUCCCCAAACAAAAAGAAAGGAUGCUUCAAACUCUGCCCCACAGUGUGCACAAGCAGUCUCAGCCUCCUGCAGCAAUGCGACACCCUCUCGCUUUAUGAAGGCAUUUCCAGGGUUGGCUAACACCAUAACAAGACCACUUUUCUAGUCCUGCAGAUCACAUUAUGUAAUGUGAUAUUUUUUUUCAAGCUAUAUUGUUAUCUGUUUACUCUCUUUAAUCUUGUAUUAAUACUUCAUAGUUGAUAUUCGUUAGCGACAAAGUGAAUAUUCAAUGAGCAAUAAUAGUCAAAGGGGAUAGCAUUUCCUAGCUGUUAAUUACCAGGUAGGCUGAGAACCAGGGAGCAGGGUCAUGGAAAAUGUUUAUGCCAAAAUCCAACUUUUCUGGUUUCAUUACCAGAGCAAAGCUCUCAAGGGUGUGCACUGACCUCAAGACCAUUUUAUGUGAACCUGGGACUGGGCUGGGCCUUCCAACAACUGCAUACCACUCUCCCUUAACCUGCAGCCAUCUUUCUGAGGGAGUGGGCCUUUACUCCCCCAACAAACAUCUUUGAGGAGGAGCUAGAUGGUCCUCUCUUCCCACCAGAUGUCAUCUGAGGAGCCGGCAAGCAGGCUUGCUGUGCUUCCCAAUACCAAAAAGGCUUCUGAAGGAUGCCAGGUAGCCCUACACUACUCACCAUCUGAGACCUGAGGUGACUCAGUUGGCCCAGAACUACUUGACAGGGUUUGCCUCCAUCUAAAGAUCUUGGGAAGGGGAGAAUGGCCCAGAACCCACCAUGUGGAGACUCUGGAAGGCUGGUAACGUCCACUAGCUCUUGCCCCCUCCUUGAAGACAUCUGAAGUAAAAUUUUAGUGUGGAGAGCCAGGGUGAACCCAACACUGAGGGCUGCAAAACAGAUGAACUGAAAUUCACCCCCAACCCCAAAUUGUUUUUUGUUCACUGAAGCCAACAGGUUUUAUGUAGUCCUGCCCGAGAACUCAAGCCCUCAGUCCAACCACCCAUUAGUUGCCAGAAACUACCCAAGUCAGAGGUCCAAUCACUCCAGUAAACUGUGUAAAAGUAAUAAAUUAAGAGAAUAGAAAAUAUCA
rnacentral:lncRNA from 1 species